rnacentral:tRNA from 1 species
UAGAAGGUGGUGUAUUGGAGGCACCGAGAGUUUUGAUCUCUCAGGGAAGGGUUCGAUCCCCUUUCUUCUAA